GUCUUUUCGAGGUAGGAGUCGACUCCUGUGAGUUAGGUAUGGUGCUGGGUGCAGAUGCAGUGUGGCUCUGGAUAGCACCUUAUGGACAGAGUUGUGUCCCCAAGGAAGGAUGAGAAUAGCUACUGAAAGGUCCUAAAGAGCAAGCCUAACUCAAGCCAUUGGCACACAGAGGCAUUAGACAGAAAGCUGGAAGUUGAAAUGAGGUGGAGUCCAACUUGCCUGGACCAGCUUAAUGGUUCUGAGCUCCUGGUAACGUUUUUAUCCAUGGAUGACUUGCUUGGGUAAGGACAUGAAGACAGUUCCUGUCAUACCUUUUAAAGAGGUAUGGAGAGUCGGCUUGACUACACUGUGUGGAGCAAGUUUUAAAGAAGCAAAGAGGACUCAGAAUUCAUGAUUGAAGAAAUGCAGAGGCAGACCUGUUAUCCUAAACUAGAGGGUUUUUAAUGACCACAACAAGCAAGCAUGCAGCUUACUGCUUGAAAGAGGGUCUUGCCUCACCCAAGCUAGAGUGCAGUGGCCUUUGAAGCUUACUACAGCCUCAAACUUCUGGGCUCAAGUGAUCCUCAGCCUCCCAGUGGUCUUUGUAGACUGCCUGAUGGAGUCUCAUGGCACAAGAAGAUUAAAACAGUGUCUCCAAUUUUAAUAAAUUUUUGCAAUCCA
rnacentral:lncRNA from 10 species